CCCUUUAGACGGUCACAGAGAUCAGCAGUGAAGCAUGUUGUUUAAUUCGAUAACCCACGACAAAUCUUACCACUUCUUGCAUAAUAGAAUUUAAUUUCUAUUACAGGUGUUGCAUGGCUGUCUUUAGUUCGUGUUGUGAAAUGUUAGGUUUAUUCCGAUAACGAACGCAAUCCUUAUCUUUAAUUCUAUUCUUAAAGAAGUAUCUUUCGACAAGAAAGAAUAAUUAGGAUGAAGACAAGUCCUCAUGACCCUUAUGGAGUGGGCUACAGACGUGCCACAAAGAUUUCUACAAAAGGAAGCAAAGAUGUUAAGUCUGAGCGAAUCCCUAAAAGAAAUUGAAGUACGAAUAAGAAUCUGGAACUCGAUUCUUUGAAAAAGGAAUUGCUAGUAAUCGUUCAAGGGCGAAUUCG
rnacentral:rRNA from 1 species